CCAGCUUCAGGGGAUCUAACACCUUCUGGACUACCUGAGGACCUGCAGGAGUUCAUAGACACAUCUACACAUAAAAAGUGAACAGACACACAAUUUAGAGCAACCCACUUUAAUUGGUAAUAGUGCUGAUUAGGAUAAGGAGUUGUGUCAUUUCUUUUUCUUUGUUUAUAAUGUUUGUGUGUGUUUUCAGUUUUAAUAUAUGUGCUGCCGAAGUGAGCUGUGUGUGUUUUCAGACACAGUCUCAUUCUAGAGCAGGCUGCUGGAUUCUCCAUCCUGUCAGAAGUGUAGCUGCCGUACUCAACUGACGGGGGAGAGCUUUUUGGGGGUGGGGAACAGGGUCUCAUGCCACCUUGGCUGUUCUGGAUCUUGUUAUAUAGACCAAGCUAGGUGACAGAGAUUCCCCUUCUCUGUCUCAUCUACUGGGAUUAGACAUGAACCACCAUGCCUAAGGAGAAAAAUUGCCAUACCUACUGUGAGACAAUUGCUGUGUGUUUUACCAUGAUAAUUAUGGUCAUUAAAUGCAGAUCUUAAUAAAAGAUUCUUCAGCUGUCUUAAAAAGGAUGGAGUUUUAAAGUUUUAAAGUAUGGGACAAGGCUGCAGAAAUGGCUCAGCAGCCAAGAGUGCAUUUCCUAGAACUUCACUUUUUAAUUUUUCUGGCUGAAAUUCUACCAGCUUCCUUUGGAUUGGCAAAUAUAUAUAUUUUAAGUGUUUGUAUGUUUUUAAAAUCUCUCUCAUUCUGUCUGUCUCUCUGUACGAGUGUGUGCGGGCGUGUGCGUGCACACUGCGCCCAUCACCAGAAGCCCCAAUAUUUAUGUUUUAAUUAUUAGUCUUACAUAUCAGUGUGGAUUAGUUAGCUCCCAUAACAUUUGCUUCCCUAUGCACAUUAUCUUGGAAAGGAGGUAAAUUUUGACACAGGAAUAACUAGAGGUUGGUAGAAGCUUGAAUGUUCUGGUAUUGUGCAGUUUAUGCUUGUUUGUGAGUGAAACUACUGUGGAAUGGAGGAGGUGGUACAUACUUGUAACCCAACACUCAGGAGGCUGAAGCAGGAAGAUCACAAUUUUCAGAUCACAAGUUUGAGACUAGCCUGGCCUACAUAGCAAGACUUCAUUAAAAAAAAAAAAAA
rnacentral:lncRNA from 1 species